AUUGAACGCUGGCGGCAGGCCUAACACAUGCAAGUCGAACGGUAACAGGAAGCAGCUUGCUGCUUCGCUGACGAGUGGCGGACGGGUGAGUAAUGUCUGGGAAACUGCCUGAUGGAGGGGGAUAACUACUGGAAACGGUAGCUAAUACCGCAUAACGUCGCAAGACCAAAGAGGGGGACCUUCGGGCCUCUUGCCAUCGGAUGUGCCCAGAUGGGAUUAGCUAGUAGGUGGGGUAACGGCUCACCUAGGCGACGAUCCCUAGCUGGUCUGAGAGGAUGACCAGCCACACUGGAACUGAGACACGGUCCAGACUCCUACGGGAGGCAGCAGUGGGGAAUAUUGCACAAUGGGCGCAAGCCUGAUGCAGCCAUGCCGCGUGUAUGAAGAAGGCCUUUCGGGUUGUAAAGUACUUUUCAGCGGGGAGGAAGGCGAUAAGGUUAAUAACCUUGUCGAUUGACGUUACCCGCAGAAGA
rnacentral:rRNA from 1 species